rnacentral:rRNA from 1 species
AUACAGAGGGUGCGAGCGUUAAUCGGAAUUACUGGGCGUAAAGCGCGCGUAGGCGGUCUAUUAAGUCAGAUGUGAAAUCCCAGGGCUCAACCUUGGAACUGCAUCUGAUACUGGGUAGCUAGAGUUUUGGAGAGGGAAGUAGAAUUUCAGGUGUAGCGGUGAAAUGCAUAGAGAUCUGAAGGAAUACCAGUGGCGAAGGCGACUUCCUGGCCAAAAACUGACGCUGAGGUGCGAAAGCGUGGGUAGCAAACGGGAUUAGAAACCCCAGUAGUCC